rnacentral:rRNA from 1 species
GCCUAACACAUGCAAGUCGAGCGGAAACGACACUAACAAUCCUUCGGGUGCGUUAAUGGGCGUCGAGCGGCGGACGGGUGAGUAAUGCCUAGGAAAUUGCCUUGAUGUGGGGGAUAACCAUUGGAAACGAUGGCUAAUACCGCAUAAUGCCUACGGGCCAAAGAGGGGGACCUUCGGGCCUCUCGCGUCAAGAUAUGCCUAGGUGGGAUUAGCUAGUUGGUGAGGUAAUGGCUCACCAAGGCGACGAUCCCUAGCUGGUCUGAGAGGAUGAUCAGCCACACUGGAACUGAGACACGGUCCAGACUCCUACGGGAGGCAGCAGUGGGGAAUAUUGCACAAUGGGCGAAAGCCUGAUGCAGUCAUGCCGCGUGUAUGAAGAAGGCCUUCGGGUUGUAAAGUACUUUCAGUUGUGAGGAAGGGGGUAGCGUUAAUAGCGCUGUAUCUUGACGUUAGCAACAGAAGAAGCACC